rnacentral:rRNA from 1 species
GACGAACGCUGGCGGCGUGCCUAACACAUGCAAGUCGAGCGAUGAAGUUUCCUUCGGGAAAUGGAUCAGCGGCGGACGGGUGAGUAACACGUGGGUAACCUGCCUCAUAGAGGGGAAUAGCCUCCCGAAAGGGAGAUUAAUACCGCAUAAUAUUACAGUUUCGCAUGAAACAGUAAUUAAAGGAGCAAUCCGCUAUGAGAUGGACCCGCGGCGCAUUAGCUAGUUGGUGAGGUAACGGCUCACCAAGGCGACGAUGCGUAGCCGACCUGAGAGGGUGAUCGGCCACAUUGGGACUGAGACACGGCCCAGACUCCUACGGGAGGCAGCAGUGGGGAAUAUUGCACAAUGGGGGAAACCCUGAUGCAGCAACGCCGCGUGAGUGAUGACGGUCUUCGGAUUGUAAAGCUCUGUCUUUGGGGACGAUAAUGACGGUACCCAAGGAGGAAGCCACGGCUAACUACGUGCCAGCCGCCGCGGUAAUAC